ACGGAGGGGGCUAGCGUUAUUCGGAAUUAUUGGGCGUAAAGGGCGCGUAGGCGGCCCGGUAAGUCAAAGGUGAAAUCCCUCGGCUCAACUGAGGAACUGCCUUUGAAACUGUCGGGCUUGAGGCCGGGAGGGGGUAGCGGAAUUCCCAGUGUAGCGGUGAAAUGCGUAGAUAUUGGGAGGAACACCGGUGGCGAAGGCGGCCUUCUGGACGGAUACUGACGCUGAGACGCGAAAGCGUGGGGAGCAAACAGGA
rnacentral:rRNA from 1 species